UACGUAGGUGGCAAGCGUUGUUCGGAAUUACUGGGCGUAAAGCGCACGUAGGCGGCUUUGUAAGUUAGAGGUGAAAGCCCGGGGCUCAACUCCGGAAUUGCCUUUAAGACUGCAUCGCUAGAAUUGUGGAGAGGUAAGUGGAAUUCCGAGUGUAGAGGUGAAAUUCGUAGAUAUUCGGAAGAACACCAGUGGCGAAGGCGACUCACUGGCUCGUAUCUGACGCUCAGGCGCGACAGCGUGGGGAUCAAACAGG
rnacentral:rRNA from 1 species